rfam:Asian citrus Psyllid, Diaphorina citri - Florida Strain, whole genome shotgun sequence.
GCCUAGUUAGCUUGGUUGGUAGCGCGUCUGCCUUGUAAGCGCUAGACCGCGGGAUCGAUUCCCGCCCGGGGCG